GUUGGGUUAGGCUGCAGUGACAAACAGCUCCCAGUAUCUGGGGCUUCAAACAACAAAGAUAAUAGUCACCACAGGACAGACUGAGUUCUUAUAUCAACACACAGGAACUUUUUUAUAACUGUUUGAAGAAGUAUGUGUAGCAAAUC